GUUGAGACAAGAUCAUAAAAUUUUAAUAAUCAAUUUCGCUUAUCGUAAUAAGAAUAUACUACAAAGUAUAGUUGGCCGUCACACAAUGACAAUACUGAUAAGGUUGUAGACAAUUGGACACAAACAUUCAAUUCACAAAAUACUCCGAAGCAAUGUAACAUUGUUGAACCCUAUGUCCAACAAAGAUAAACAUGCAUGUGUAACAAAAUUAACCCAUAUAAAAAUAUUCAUAUUAUUGUCUAACAUUUAUAAUUCAUAAUAACUUUGUUGUAUCUAAUAUUUAAAAUGCUAGCCCGUGCAAGUGCACGAGUUAACGACUAGUGUAAUGCAAUGUUUAUCCCGCUUGCGAAACGUUUAGAUGCGACUCUUUCCUCUUUUGAGGCCUCGCCCCCAAAUAAGAAAAGUGUCGCAUCUUAGUCGUUACAUAUACAGAUUAAUCCUUGACUACCUCUAACGAGAUUUACAAGUGUUCAUGGACACCAGUUGCAACAGCGAUACAAUGCUGGGUUACACCAUCUAUCAAACCAGCCAAACUAAGCUAGAAAUAGUUGGUUGAACCAUGGCUAACCAAACUCCAAUCUACAAAAUUAAUCUGCAAUUACAACCUUGAAUAGCACAAUCACCCAAAACACUAGAAUAAGCUAACCCGUUAAGAGAAAUUGUCAUGGAUUUUAGUAGCAUCUAUUAGACUUGUGUACAGAUGAUGAUCAAAUCAUAUUAAUGAGACAUCAACUGAACUGAACUGGAUAACAGGAAAAAAUACUACCAUUUUGAUGCAUACAAAUCAAUCUGAAAUUAGUUGUAACCAGCUACAUAACUAGUAAACUGACCAAAUAGUCAAGCAAAUCAGUUAACCAAACUCCACCCUAUAAAGGUAACCUGCAAUUGAAACAGCAGCAAAAUCGGCAAAAAAAACACCCGAACAAAUGGCACCAAUUGGCAGGGAAAGUGUUCUUCUGGCGCCCUCAUGCCACGACUGUAGCAGCAUUAACAAACGAGCUCAAUAAUAACACAAACAUUAGUGACCCUUGACAACAGGCAAGGCAACGCAUCCACAAUCGCAUCAAUCCACAGUGGCCCGUCCUCGCACUACUUCCAAUCUCGCACGGCUACCGAACUAGACUCAAGAGCAGGACGAAUCCUUCACCGAUUCAGGCUAAAGGCAAAGCAAACUAGUCAGCUCGUAGAUUAUACCUCAAGCCCCAACGCCAAUCCCCUGGUGACCAUGAAGAGCUUGAAAUCAACUACGACUAGCAACAACGGGAGAUCGCAAGCACCGACCCGCGAACGACCGCCGCCUUUACCGGACUCCCGACCGCAAAGGGAAAACCUCGCGGGAACCAAUCGCGGCGGCGUAGCAACCGGCCCAAAAGCCCGGGGCGAUCUAAAACAAUUUUUUGUACUAAAAUUUUAUAUUUAUUCUAAAUUAAGUGCACCAUAUUAUAGUUGUAAUUAAUAUUUUUUUAUUACUUAGCAACAUAAGAAUGUUUUCAAAUAAUGUUAUAUUAUUUAUUGGUACAUAGUUGCGAUGUAUAUCAUUAAAAAAUAUAUUUUUUGAAAUGAAAUUCUUGUGAUAUAUCAAUUUGCC
rnacentral:lncRNA from 1 species